rnacentral:rRNA from 1 species
GACGAACGCUGGCGGCGUGCUUAACACAUGCAAGUCGAACGGAAAGGCCCUGCUUUUGUGGGGUGCUCGAGUGGCGAACGGGUGAGUAACACGUGAGUAACCUGCCCUUGACUUUGGGAUAACUUCAGGAAACUGGGGCUAAUACCGGAUAGGAGCUCCUGCUGCAUGGUGGGGGUUGGAAAGUUUCGGCGGUUGGGGAUGGACUCGCGGCUUAUCAGCUUGUUGGUGGGGUAGUGGCUUACCAAGGCUUUGACGGGUAGCCGGCCUGAGAGGGUGGCCGGCCACAUUGGGACUGAGAUACGGCCCAGACUCCUACGGGAGGCAGCAGUGGGGAAUAUUGCACAAUGGGCGGAAGCCUGAUGCAGCAACGCCGCGGGCGGGAUGACGGCCUGCGGGUUGUAAACCGCUGUCGCCUGUGACGAAGCGUGAGUGACGGUAAUGGGUAAAGAAGCACCGGCUAACUACGUG